rnacentral:rRNA from 1 species
UACGUAGGGUGCAAGCGUUGUCCGGAAUUAUUGGGCGUAAAGAGCUCGUAGGCGGUCUGUUGCGUCGGGAGUGAAACUUACAGCUUAACUGUGAGCGUGCUUCCGAUACGGGCAGACUUGAGGUAUUCAGGGGAGAACGGAAUUCCCGGUGUAGCGGUGAAAUGCGCAGAUAUCGGGAAGAACACCCGUGGCGAAGGCGGCUCUCUGGGACGGUACUGACGCUGAGACGCGAAAGCGUGGGGAGCGAACAGG